rnacentral:rRNA from 1 species
ACGGGGUGCAGCAGGCGCGAAACCUCCACAAUUCACGCAAGUGAGAUGGGGUUACCUCGAGUGCUAUCUGAAGAAGGUGGCUUUUCCAUGGUGUAAUGAGCCGUGGGAAUAAGGGGGGGGCAAGACUGGUGUCAGCCGCCGCGGUAACACCAGCCCCCCGAGUGGUGGGGAUGAUUAUUUGGCCUAAAGCGUCCGUAGCCAGCUCGGUAAAUCUCUCGUUAAAUCCAGCGUCCUAAGCGUUGGGCUGCGAGGGGAACUGCCGAACUAGAGGGUGGGAGAGGUCAGCGGUAUUCCUGGGGUAGGGGCGAAAUCCAUUGAUCCCAGGAGGACCACCAGUGGCGAAGGCUGCUGACUAGAACACGCCUGACGGUGAGGGACGAAAGCUGGGGUAGCGAAUCGGAUUAGAUACCCGAGUAGUCCCAGCCGUAAACGAUGCAGGCUAGGUGUUGGGUCGGCCAUGCGCCGCCUCAGUGCCACAGGGAAGCCAUUAAGCCUGCCGCCUGGGGAGUACGGCCGCAAGGCUGAAACUUAAAGGAAUUGGCGGGGGAGCACCACCAGGCGUGAAGCCUGCGGUUUA